rnacentral:rRNA from 1 species
GGGAGAAUCCUGAAAUCGAAAGGGAUUGGAUUCAAGUCUACCGUGUGCUUUAGGAGUCGCCCACGCACAGAUGGCGCCGGUCGGCCGCGGCGAACUCGUUCGUCCAGCGGUGUCAGUACCUGGCGAUCACUCGGCGAGGUGCGGGUUUCCGGCACUCCUGGGGGAGUGCAAUUCCUCCCUUAGUAAAUGCGUCGCGACCCGUUGGGUGCCGGUCUCAAGGCCCGGGAUGGCAAACCGACUCGUCCUGUAGGUGGGUUUUUCCACAGGCGUGCGGACUCCCGGUGUACCCGGCCGGUCGCCCACGGUAANAGCAAAGGAAUCNAUCCGCUUGCAACCGGUGCGUGACACUGGGGAGAUGUGUUGCGUCCGGCCUGUCNAUGUC